rnacentral:rRNA from 1 species
CCUACGGGUGGCUGCAGUGGGGAAUAUUGGACAAUGGGGGGAACCCUGAUCCAGCCAUGCCGCGUGUGUGAAGAAGGCCCUCGGGUUGUAAAGCACUUUCAGUGAGGAAGAACGCCUGGUGGUUAAUACCCAUCAGGAAAGACAUCACUCACAGAAGAAGCACCGGCUAACUCCGUGCCAGCAGCCGCGGUAAUACGGAGGGUGCGAGCGUUAAUCGGAAUUACUGGGCGUAAAGCGCGCGUAGGUGGCUUGAUAAGCCGGUUGUGAAAGCCCCGGGCUCAACCUGGGAACGGCAUCCGGAACUGUCAAGCUAGAGUGCAGGAGAGGAAGGUAGAAUUCCCGGUGUAGCGGUGAAAUGCGUAGAGAUCGGGAGGAAUACCAGUGGCGAAGGCGGCCUUCUGGACUGACACUGACGCUGAGGUGCGAAAGCGUGGGUAGCAAACAGGAUUAGAUACCCCUGUAGUC